rnacentral:lncRNA from 1 species
GCCACGGGUGGUGGGAGUGAGCGCGAAGGAAUUGUGCGGCUGCGGUGAGUUGCUGGAACCUGGCACGAAUGAAAGGCUUUGCCAUGGUCUCUGAUGCAGCCAGGUUACAGCCAGCCGUGAGUUCCUGCUGCGCGCCAGGCACAUGUCAGAUGCUGGGAUACCAGGAAGUGCACCCAGAUAGGGGCCUGAAGAUUAUGUAGAAAUUCAGAGGGUCAAGAACAGCCAGAAAAAAAUAUUGAAAAAGAAAAACAAAGUGGGAAGACCAGUGGAAUAUACGAUAGAGACCAGAAACAAAAAUACACGUGUAUGGACAAUUUAUUUCAGAGGCGGGGCUGCAGAGCACAGGAGGAAACUAUUUUUAGGUAAGUCGUCUUCUCAGUCAUGCUCUGGAAAAAAAUUGCAGGACAUGGAGAAUCAGAGACCCAGGCAGAUCUCACUCACCCUUGUUUUCCUCUCAAAUGCCAGUUUUCCGAGACGAGUCUGUGCAGCCUUCAGCCUUCUGCCAAGGCAGGCAAGGUGAUGGAAAAGAAGAGAUUUGGAAGAAAGAGGAAGUGUCUGUCCCCUUCAGCUCCCAUACUGGUAGUGAAUCUCCACCUCCCAGCGGAAUCUCAUUACAGAAAUUCUCCAUCAUUGGAAAAGUACUCAAGACAACCCUGGAAGUACAUGUUGAAGAGGUCAGAGCCUCUGUCUACCUGGGUCCUGAACUGUUGAGCUGGAGUAGACUCUUGCCACAUGAACCACUACCAACUGGACUUGAUAUGAGUGAGAGAUAAAUGUUAUGGAUAUAGAACCAGAGUCAGUUUCCCAGUCUUGCCCUUGGGUGUUGGUCUGUUGACUGUCUUCCUCCCAAAUCCUCCACUCUUGUUUCCUUGUUAUCUGUGAAGCUGGAAGUCAGAGUACUCUGAUGCCCUAGGUGAUGGUGGAGAUACAAGAUUGAAGAAGCCUGGGUCCCGAGUCAUUGCUUGGAAAGAGCCAUACAGAAGGGCCACCUGUCCAGGAACACUCACAUUGUGCUAUUUCACAAAUGAAAAAUGAACACUGGAGUGCUGGGGCUGAUUGUCACAGCCGUUAGCCUCCUCUGAAGAACACAGCUGGAUUUCACACUCCCUCUGGCUGUAGAGCUCAUCCACAUUUGCUUCCCAAUUGAUGCUUUGAUGAGUAUCAUUCAUCUAUUAGGUUUUUUAUGACUUUUUUUUUUUUUUAAAGAAAAUGCAUCCUCCAUUUUCUAUGACUACUAGAACUAUAGACAAAAGAUGCAAGAAAAUAUUUGCUCUAUUGGGGCAUUAAAUAGUAUUUAAUUUCUUUCUUCUGACUACACAAACUUUUGAAGUUUUAGGACAGUAGCUGCAGAGAUCUACUGGUAAGAGAAAAAUUAAUUUUUAAUUUCUCUUAUUAUUUGGAAUGUUCUCUUGAAAUUAGUAAUUUAGAAAUCUAAUUGAUUUUCCCUUUGUUAAUCCGAUAUAAUUAAUUUCUAUAAACGUUUUCCAGGCUAAAGCCCAAGUAUAUUGAAAUUUAUGUAGUAAAAACCAGGAAAUAAUGUCACUAUUUAUCAUGUUGGCUCCUGCACUUUCAAGUUACCUUUCUUCCCUUAUUACUUGGGAACAAUGAUGUCAUGGCUUAGAAUUUAGCUGUUUCUAGGUACUUACUUUGUGAUUAUCAGCAACCUUACUAUAUAACAUCUUGUUUUGUACACUGAACUUAAAAAGAGUUAAUACAAUACUUCAAGUGUAUUUAAUAAAAUGGCUUGGUAUUUCACAUGCAAACAUGUUUUGGAAACUCAAGGUAACUUUUUUAUUUCCUGAACUUUAUUAAUUGAUUGACAUCAAGAUAGGCUAACUCAGACCAAAAGUAUUCAUAUUUCCACAGGAAUAGUUAUUAAAAAGGUGAGGAAAGAAAAACAAACAAUGACAUAAACACUGAAUAGAUCAGAAAAACAAUGUUUGAAUUAUGAUAAUUUAGAUGUGAAAGAAGAGUGACCAAAUGCAAGAAAAAUGAACAUGAGGGAAGUUAAAUAAAGGGAGAUGAAAGCUGAAAGAAAACGCAAUCAACAUAAAUGGGCACAUUUUGUAAACUGUAGGUUUAAGAAGGAAAAAGAACAAAAUAAACAUGUGACUCAAACUAAAAGAGAUAAGAAAUGUUUAAACUGAAGAAUGUUAGUAAGAACAGAAAGGAAUGCAGAGUACUGUUUAAGAAAAUACAAGGAAAAGAUGCUUUAAAAUCCUGUAGUCUUGACUUCAGAUUCCAGUUCCACUUUGAACUACAGGUAUGACCUUGGAUUAAUUAAUUACUUUACCAGUCUGAGCUUCAGUGUCCCCAGCUGUCAAAUGAAAAUAAUAAAACGUCGUAAGAUGCGUUCAAGACUGUA